GACCGGGGCCUCGCACCGCCCCGCGGCGCUGCCGGGGGAGUGGUUUCCCCUUCGCCGGCAGCGGCGGGGCCGGUCUGCGGGCGGGGUGGUGCCGCGGCCGGCCCGGGAGGAUGCGGACACCCUGACGGAGCUGCCGGCUCCGUGCACGGCCGGCGGGAGGCUGCCGGCCUCCCCUUGCCUCGCGUCGCCUCGCCGGAGCAGGCUGUGUGAAGGAAUCCUGAUGAAUGAGAGUGGCACUGAGGGAGUUGUUGGGCUGCGAUCGCCUCAGCUGUUCAUUUAUUUCGAGGUGUGUUUGUCGGUGUCUGAACACGGCUGCAGUCACGGAGGGGAGCGAGGCUAGGCUGGGUACAGCAUUAACCCCUCAAGCCACGAGAAGCAAUAAACAGAGAAAUUAGUUUCCAUUAGUCUUUUCCUGACCGAGAUCUUUACCGCAGUCCUACGGUCAGCAGACCCCGAAGUUUGCGCUCCUGCAGCCUGGCUCCGUGCACAAUGCCUCCUUAUGGGAAGCCUGGAAAUGAAGGUGAAGCGGGGAAAUCUGCCUACACACCACCAGUCCCAAGCCAGUGUUUUCCAUCUCUUAGAUUUAAUGAGCAACAAAUUUUGUGCCCAGAAAGGAAUCCAGCUCACAGCUCAGGAUUUUGAUAAUUAAUAUUCCAUUUAAAGAACAUGUUUUCAGAGUCAACAUUAUGAUUGCAGAGGGAAAACAAGCAAACAGGGAGCGACUUGACCCGCUUUUCCAUGCUUUCCCGAUCUGGCCUGACAAUUUGUCAAUCAUGUGGAAUUUCCUCUAACCUCUCUGGUACAUUACUUUAGCAGAAGAAAUGAAUGUGCAAAUAGAGUCGCUAUUUUCCCUCCCUUCUCACAAUGAUCUCUUUGUGUUAAGCAACAGGCUUUUGCAUAGAUCAGGUAUCAAACCCACAGUGUCACAGGCUGAAAUUGCUUCUUCGCUCUCAUUUCUGAAAUUAUGCCCUUGCGUUUGAGCCUAUUUAACCACAUCUGUCUAUUUUGGAGGGGUCAGACGGAGCAGACUUGGUCCAGGGCAGAUCCUGUGUCAUGGCAGGCAGGAGGAGCCCUGCUGGGACUUCAAGGAGCCCAGCAUCUGCCUCUCCGCGGUGCCCCUUCCCUUUGCUCCUAGACACGUGUGUGUGUUCUCUGGAAAAAGCUGUGAGUGAAUCAGUUUCCUGCAUGUUCCUUCUUCAAAGGAAGACUUUAUUGCAAGACCUAGGAAAACUACCAGCCAAUAACAACUCAGGUGGAAUGAAAAAGACCAGUUAAUACAAACAGGUCCUAAAACCUUCUCUCAGCCCCUUGCUCCAGCCUUUGUCCCUCUUUGCUUGAGGCUGCGAUCACCUGUCCUUCGCUGUUCGGAGAGAGCACCAUCAGUAAUGGCAUCUGCAGAGCAGGUACCAGUGCUGAAGGAAGCUGGGCUCUGGCAGGACAAGCCCCUGCUGCCAUCAGGGUGGGUUGGCUGAUCCCACAGCGUUUUGCCCCAUAGAGCCCAUGUCCUCGCAGGGCUAUGACAGAAUAGUCCAAGUCCAGUUCCUUUGCAACUUCUAUACCAUGUAGCCUGAAUUUUCAUCCGAGUUGCUUCUCUUGGAUGCACACAUAUAAACUACCCGUAUGCAAAUAUUUAGGAGACCUCUAGCUUCAGGUGGCUGUUAAUUGGUUGGCAGAAAGACACGUAGCCUUAUCCAUGCACAUACGCUUUCAGUGUUAAUGACUCAUUCCAAAAAAAAAAA